rnacentral:rRNA from 1 species
GUAGUCAUAUGCUUGUCUCAAAGAUUAAGCCAUGCAUGUCUAAGUAUAAGCAAUUACAAAGCGAAACUGCGAAUGGCUCAUUAUAUAAGUUAUCGUUUAUUUGAUAGUACCUUACUACAUGGAUAACCGUGGUAAUUCUAGAGCUAAUACAUGCUGAAAAUCCCGACUUCGGAAGGGAUGUAUUUAUUAGAUACAAAACCAAUGCCCCUCGGGGCUCUCUUGGUGAUUCAUGAUAACUUCUCGAAUCGCACGGCCCCGCGCCGGCGAUGGUUCAUUCAAAUUUCUUCCCUAUCAACUUUCGAUGCUACGGUAUUGUCCUAGCAUGGUUGCAACGGGUAACGGGGAAUGGGGCGGGGGCGGCGGGCCGGGCGCGGGGCGCGGCGGGCGA